AAACUGCGAUAAGUAGUGUGAAUUGCAUUUAGUGAAUCAUCGAAUCUUUGAACGCACCCUGCACUCACUGGUAUUCCGGUGAGUACGCCUGUUUCAGUAUCAUUGAAAACACACAAUCAAAACAUUUUCUUUGGUUUGAUUGGCUUUGGGUCUAUCAAAAAGUUUGGCUUGUUUCUUACAAGCCAAGCGGCCUGAAAUAUAUUGUCUGGCUAAUUGCAUCGUUGAUGAUCGCUAUUAGACUUUGGCUUUUUUAAAUGAACUGGAGGUUGAUUAACCAGUUUUAGCUUUAGUCAAAUGGUAAUUGUAAAAAAAAUCUCGAUCUUGGCUAGGUGUUUAUAGCCGAAAAUUUUUUUUUGGCUAUAACCGAAACCAAUAUAAUCACAUUUAGUUAUCGAUCUGAAAUCAGGUGGGACUACCCGCUGAACUUAAGC
rnacentral:misc_RNA from 1 species